rnacentral:pre_miRNA from 1 species
UGGCAAGAUACUGGCGAAGCUGAGGGGUCAAGUAAUCGUCAGCUUCGUCUGGUCUUGCUGCA